GUCAGGGUGGUUUAGUGGCUUGAAUGUUGGACUAUGACUUUGGAGGCCAGGGUUCAAAUUCCCCACUAGGCCA